CUCAGGGACUGGAAACCCGGCGCGAGCGGGGCCCGAAGCCGCGCGUCCGGAGGCCAUUGCGCAUGCGCUGGGCAGCCCGUGUGCCCUUGCGAGCGGCUUGACCUGGGACCCCAGGACUCGGGGCCAGACCCAGUGCUUGUUCGCCCCUGCGUGGCAUGGACAGGGAAGUGACCGCUGGGCUUUGACAGCUGCUUUUAAGGGAGGAAGCCGAGGGUUUUCUUACCUGCUCCUAAAACUGUGAAACUGUUGAACUCGAAAGACCCCUAAAGAGCGUCUCCGCCAGCCACCUCGGUUUUAUUAAUGGGGCGACUGAGAAGAUGGGAGGUGACGGAGGUGCAGCACAGAGGCCGGGAUGGUUUAGUGGGAGCAGACUUCCCAAGAGCGAACCAGAGUUUGACCUGUGUGAAGAACGUAAAAUUGGAACAACCAGGUAGCUUCAGCAGAACUUGAGUUGGCACCAGUGAUUUUAGCAAUGACAAGAGAUGGUGAAGACCACAGCACCAUUUAGGAAGAAAAGGCCUCAGCAUAGGACCUCGGUAGCUUUGGGGCAGGCACUUGUGGACACCAGCAGCUGCAGAAUGCUUUGGGCAGGUACCAGAGGCCUAUCUGCCCUUUAAGCCUCAACAGAAAUGGAGUAAUUUCUACUGAGAGCCACGCUGGAGCCGGCUGGAAGAAAAUAGUAAUGAAGACAAGAAAAUAGUAAUGAAGACAAGUAAUGGACUUCACAGAACAAUUUGGGAGAAAGGAAGGAUGUUUGACUCUCCUGAAUAAUGAAUGGAAACAGAGUCAAUGAAUUACUGUUUGGUAACUGUUGUUGCAGCCCUUUAUUUACUGUGAAGGAUUCUGUUGCCUGAAAAACGGGAUCUAUGAAAUAACAGGACUUACUGCUAAGGUAUAUCUGCUGCUGAGGACCCAACGCCCCACGAAGUGAACCUUGCCCUCCCACAGAAGAAAAAGGUAAGAAGCUACAACUCACUCACCUUUGCUCUAGUGCAGGACCAGUACGAUG